CCACGACUGAAUGAGAUAAGAGCAGACGCUGUCCGUAAGUGGCUGGAUUCAAACAUAAUCUACCUCUAUCAGGGCUGUUGCAAGCUUCCCCCACAAGGAGGUGUAUUUCUUACAGUGAAGCAGAGUGAGACUUCAGGAGGAACUGUCAGAGGAGGAGUGGUGUACGGGAGUUCUAUGGUAACCCUGGUCUUUAGCAGGUUUCUGUUGGCUUCAACA